GACGAACGCUGGCGGCGUGCCUAAUACAUGCAAGUAGAACGCUGAAGGAAGGAGCUUGCUCUUUCUGGAUGAGUUGCGAACGGGUGAGUAACGCGUAGGUAACCUGCCUGGUAGCGGGGGAUAACUAUUGGAAACGAUAGCUAAUACCGCAUAAAAUUGAUUAUUGCAUGAUAGUCAAUUAAAAGGUGCAACUGCACCACUACCAGAUGGACCUGCGUUGUAUUAGCUAGUUGGUGGGGUAACGGCUCACCAAGGCGACGAUACAUAGCCGACCUGAAAGGGUGAUCGGCCACACUGGGACUGAGACACGGCCCAGACUCCUACGGGAGGCAGCAGUAGGGAAUCUUCGGCAAUGGACGGAAGUCUGACCGAGCAACGCCGCGUGAGUGAAGAAGGUUUUCGGAUCGUAAAGCUCUGUUGUAAGAGAAGAACGAGUGUGAGAGUGGAAAGUUCACACUGUGACGGUAUCUUACCAGAAAGGGACGGCUAACUACGUG
rnacentral:rRNA from 1 species